GGGCCGAAGAAAAAUUGUGCUCUUCAGACCCCCCCUGCCCCCAACUCCUUCCUGAGGACUGGGCUAUCAUGAUGCUGCUCAGAUUGGUCCUUGCGCUCGGAGCUGGGACACUUCUAUGUGAGUAUGGAGAUCUAGGCACAGGAAGAGGAAGUGAUCUUCCCGAGAUUCUAGAGAAAAAACUGGCACUGUGAUUCCUGUAGUCAAGGUGCAGUAUUUUUCCCCUUGCCAUGCUUGUGACAUGUACAGGAGGUGAGUGAUGUCCCCUAGGACAUUUAUUAGGAAUCUCUGAAUUAAAAAAUUCAUUUAGAAA
ensembl:lncRNA